CCACUUAUUUGGAUUGUUACAUCUUUGAGUCACAAAUAUAGAGUCUACUCUAUAUAUCGUACGAACAAGCGUGGACAUAUCAUGCAAGUAAAGACAACAAGGAGUAUUUUCAUGGUCGUGGAAAAAGAUUCGACCACCAGGAGUCCACUUUGAACGGAGAAAGGACCUGUUUACUUCCCUUUGACGAGGAAAAAACAGAGACUGAUGGAGCUUCAUACAGGAAAACCGAACCUCUGGAACAGAUGAAAAGAGGGAUGGCCGCCCCAGCAUCACUUGAUAGCGACACAUAAAUCAAUGAUUGCACUGCCUGAUUUGAUGGCCAGACUCCCUCUUUCACAGGGUGGGAACUCAGACCCGAGAGCAGCAUGGACAUUUCCUUUCUCAGUUUAUCUUCUCACGUCUGACUCUGACUCUAAUAUUAGACCGCUCACAGAUCCAUCAGUGCUGCUCCACGUGCUACUGUUCAAAUCACAGGCUAGCAGAGAUAAUGCAGUGAACAGUUUAAAUCACUGUGUUUGCUUGAAUGCCUGUCCUGCAGAUGAGU